AGCUCCAAUAGCGUAUAUUAAAGUUGUUGCAGUUAAAAAAGCUCGUAGUCGGAUUUUGGCAUCACGCCGCACUGUCUGCCGAUUGGUAAGUACGGUUUGGCGGGUGCUUCCUUCCGGUGCUGCGUUCUGCUCUUAAUUGAGCGGUUCGUUGGUUCCGGUUCUUUACUUUGAGAAAAUUAGAGUGUUCAAAGCAGGCCUAU
rnacentral:rRNA from 1 species